AUUGAACGCUAGCGGCAGGCUUUACACAUGCAAGUCGAGCGAGUGGCGGACGGGUGAGUAAUGUAUGGGAAAGUGCCCAAUGGAGGGGGAUAACUACUGGAAAGGGUGGCUAAUACCGCAUACCAUCAGAUGUGCCCAUAUGGGAUUAGCUAGUAGGUGGGGUAAUGGCUCACCAAGGCGACGAUCCCUAGCUGGUCUGAGAGGACGACCAGCCACACUGGGACUGAGACACGGUCCAGACUCCUACGGGAGGCAGCAGUGGGGAAUAUUGCACAAUGGGCGAAAGCCUGAUGCAGCCAUGCCGCGUGUGUGAUGAAGGCCUUCGGGUUGUAAAGCACUUUCGGCAGGGAGGCGUUACUCGCAGAAGAAGCACCGGCUAACUCCGUGCCAGCAGCCGCGGUAAUAC
rnacentral:rRNA from 1 species